AGGUCUAGUGGUAUGAUUCUCGCUUAGUAAGUUGACUCACACGUAAAUCACCAUCUCUUCCAUUCUAACAAGUCCCAGGGGUAAACCCAAGCACAGCUUGCGAGAGGCCCCGCGUUCGAGUCGCGGUA